rnacentral:rRNA from 1 species
CGCUGGCGGCGUGCCUAACACAUGCAAGUCGAGCGAGGAGAUCCUUCGGGAUGAUCCUAGCGGCGGACGGGUGAAUAACACGUGGGCAACCUGCCUCAUAGAGAGGAAUAGCCUUCCGAAAGGGAGAUUAAUACCUCAUAACAUUGCAGUUUCGCAUGGAACAGCAAUUAAAGGAGUAAUCCGCUAUGAGAUGGGCCCGCGGCGCAUUAGCUAGUUGGUGAGGUAACGGCUCACCAAGGCGACGAUGCGUAGCCGACCUGAGAGGGUGAUCGGCCACAUUGGGACUGAGACACGGCCCAGACUCCUACGGGAGGCAGCAGUGGGGAAUAUUGCACAAUGGGGGAAACCCUGAUGCAGCCAACGCCGCGUGAGUGAUGACGGCCUUCGGGUUGUAAAGCUCUGUCUUCAGGGACGAUAAUGACGGUACCUGAGGAGGAAGCCACGGCUAACUACGUGCCAGCAGCUGC